UACGUAGGGUGCGAGCGUUGUCCGGAAUUAUUGGGCGUAAAGAGCUUGUAGGCGGUUUGUCGCGUCUGCUGUGAAAAUCCGGGGCUCAACCCCGGACUUGCAGUAGGUACGGGCAGACUAGGGUGUGGUAGGGGAGACUGGAAUUCCUGGUGUAGCGGUGAAAUGCGCAGAUAUCAGGAGGAACACCGAUGGCGAAGGCAGGUCUCUGGGCCACUACUGACGCUGAGAAGCGAAAGCAUGGGGAGCGAACAGG
rnacentral:rRNA from 1 species